AGUAAUUCCAAACGGAAUCCCACUUUUGGAUGAUGGGGCUUGUUCUUAUGGCAGUCUCCUCCUUGGGUUUGUUUUUUAGGGCAGUUUGGUAUGGGAAUUCUUCAUCUUUUGGGUCUUGGAAGGAGUAGAGGUAGUCUCCCAUAUGAAAGAUGAAAGCUGCAGCUACCUGCUUUACAGGAUUCCUGUGGAACAUGUGUGCAAUCCAGGCCACUAUGGGAAUAUUGAGUAAAAUUUGAAAGAAGAGAGGAAGUUGUCCACAAACAGAUCUGGGGGGACAAGCAUUCCAGAAAGGAGGAAGAACAUCUCCAAAGGCCCCAAGGUACAGGUGCUUGGUAUAUUUAAGGAAUAGCAAGCCAUUCAGUCUGGCAGGAGUCUUGUGAGCAAAGGGCUGGGUAGCAGAUUUACAAUAAUAUGCUAUACACGUUAUCCCAAGAACACUUUAAAACAGAAGAAAUUGGGACCAAGAGAGGUUAAGUGAUUUGCCCAAGUUUUCACAAUAAGUAGCAAAACCAAAAGACAGAGGCUCCUCUUCAUACCCUGUCUUGUGUUUUUACUAUGAUGCCAUUGUGUGUUCUCCUUGAAACUGCCUUAAUAUUUUCUUUAUAACUUCAUUGUGAAUUUUUUGUUAAAGCAAUCAGAAGUCAGGAAUCAUGCCUUCGCAGGUUGGAUUUUAUAUAGCACAAAGUUCCAGUAGAUGUUUUCUAAAUACUUUUGAUGAAACAUUGUAACAGCAGGCUUAUCUUUCUCCUUUAUUUAUCCAAGUAGACUUGGCUGAGACUCCCAAUUGAGCAGAAAUAUUUUAGUGUCGAUGUAUCUGAUUAUCUAGCUGUUUAGCAUAUACGCUUUAUACCUACAUUAUAUUAUUUAUCUUAAAACCAUUUAAAAAUUUUACAUGGAAUCUAAAAUUGUUUGUAUAUUCAAAACAUUCAACUAAGGAAACAAAAGAUAAAAUCAUUUUUAAUAGUUGAAAUCAUUCAUAGCAUAAUGGCAUAUAGACACAGACACACCCACACUCACACACAUACACACACACACACACAUACCCAGAACUAAAUGAGUGUUCAAGUCACAAAUAUUUUUUAAAUCCCUAAUGAAGAAUUAAAUGGAUAUUUAUUGGCAAUAGAGCAGUAUAACAGACAGGUGAUUUAAUUUGUGUUAUUUUAAAAAUGUAAUUAUUAAAUAUUCAUGACAUAUUAUACUUUACAAGACUUAACUACUUAUACAAAAAUCAUAUGGUGAAGAUAAAAUGCAGACAAAGAGUCUGGGUUCCCACAGCCACUGACCCCCAAAUGACCUGCUAAUAAAUGCCAGAUUCUCAUCUUGUAAAACUCCUAUGGGAGAAUAAUAAAGGGUGAACAUUUGGUCCAACAUUUAUUAUUUUAAAAAACAAGCACCUUUAGUUUUCCUUCAAGAGAAUCAUUUUCCUGCUCUAUAAAAGUCUUUGGCCUUUAUGAAAAUGUGUACCGCAUGUCAUACAGCUAGAGUCAUAAAUUUGGGCAGUUACACACGGAAGUUCAGACAUCCGGUCCAACCAAUCUAGAUGAUUCAAAUUCAAGUUAAUUUUUACACUAACAUUUUCCUAAUUCCCAGUACAUUUACCAGCUAAUUAUGUAAUUGUUCAUUUUUCUUGCACCAUAGCUUUAGUUGUGAAAUUUUAGGGAAUAAACAUAUGUAGAUUCAAAACAGAAAUAUAGUGGAUCUAAUUAGCUGUGUUAUUAGUAAAUACGCGAGGCCAGAGAUUCCCAAACUUUUUAAAAUCUGAGCAACUACAGAACAGAUACAGCAUACUGAAAAGAAUAAUAAGGUUGUGACAGAUGCAGAUAUAAACUAAAACAUAUAGAAAACGUACUGAGAGGUGACACAAAACUAAGAGGUCAGGAAUAGGUGUUUCAAAAGAUAUCUACAGAUCUCCAUACCUUUACAGUUCUUCCUUAACAAAAGCAUCUCCUUUAAUCUCUGUAUUUAAUAGAUGCUAUGACUCAGGCCAGCAAGUUUGUGCUGGGACCAAAGACCUAGC
rnacentral:lncRNA from 1 species